CUUUAUUGGAGAGUUUGAUCCUGGCUCAGGAUGAACGCUGGCGGCGUGCCUAAUACAUGCAAGUCGAGCGAAUGGAUUGAGAGCUUGCUCUCAAGAAGUUAGCGGCGGACGGGUGAGUAACACGUGGGUAACCUGCCCAUAAGACUGGGAUAACUCCGGGAAACCGGGGCUAAUACCGGAUAACAUUUUGAACUGCAUGGUUCGAAAUUGAAAGGCGGCUUCGGCUGUCACUUAUGGAU
rnacentral:rRNA from 1 species